AAGCUUGUCUAAACCGCAGAGAGAUGCACCUGUUCCUGGUCCGGGGCCUCUGGACCUCCCUCCCCUCCACCCUGUCCUGACUCCUUUACGUGGACCCUUCUCACCCCACCUGCGGCCCCAGAAGCUCAAAGGAAGAGCUGACCUGGGGGAUACAACACCCCCUUCCCCUGUACAAAUCCCAGUCUGGGUCCUACCUUGAAGGGGGCCUGGGUAGGUAAUCCCCAGACUUGCCCUUUAGUUCCCUGGGGCACCCUUUUUCCGCUGAGUCACAUCCCCAGAGUGCUCCCAGGUGAACAAGCCCCUGGGGGCUGGGGGAUGGGCCUGGCUCAUCCUAUCUACGCACUCCCCAUGGCCCCUGCGCCCCCACUGCUGGCGGCUGCUCUGGCUCUGGCCUACCUCCUGAGGCCUCU
rnacentral:lncRNA from 1 species